UGGACGAGAAAGUUGCUGUCUCUNGAAGAAUUUUUUUUGAAUUUAACCUUUAAGUAAAAAGGCUUAAAUUUUUUUUAAAGACGAGAAGACCCUAUAGAGUUUAAUACUAUUAUUAAUUGAAUGUUUUUGGUUAUUUUAUGUUUCUAUUUUGUUUAGUAUUUAGUUGGGGUGACUGGAAGAUUAAUUUAACUCUUCAAAAUUUUAAUCAUUUAUUUGUGAAUAANANAUCUAGAGUUUUUAAAUUUAAUAUAAAUUACCUUAGGGAUAACAGCGUAAUUUCUUUUUAGAGUUCUUAUUGGAAAAGAAGUUUGCGACCUCNAUGUUGAUUUAAAUUGCCGCGGUA
rnacentral:rRNA from 1 species